rnacentral:rRNA from 1 species
GACGAACGCUGGCGGCGUGCCUAAUACAUGCAAGUCGAACGCUGAAGGAGGAGCUUGCUUCUCUGGAUGAGUUGCGAACGGGUGAGUAACGCGUAGGUAACCUGCCUGGUAGCGGGGGAUAACUAUUGGAAACGAUAGCUAAUACCGCAUAAGAGUAGAUGUCGCAUGACAUUUGCUUAAAAGGUGCAAUUGCAUCACUACCAGAUGGACCUGCGUUGUAUUAGCUAGUUGGUGAGGUAACGGCUCACCAAGGCAACGAUACAUAGCCGACCUGAGAGGGUGAUCGGCCACACUGGGACUGAGACACGGCCCAGACUCCUACGGGAGGCAGCAGUAGGGAAUCUUCGGCAAUGGACGGAAGUCUGACUGAGCAACGCCGCGUGAGUGAAGAAGGUUUUCGGAUCGUAAAGCUCUGUUGUAAGAGAAGAACGAGUGUGAGAGUGGAAAGUUCACACUGUGACGGUAGCUUACCAGAAAGGGACGGCUAACUACGUG